ACCCAGAUAGUUUAAAUAAAACAUCGGUCUUGUAAGCCGAAGCCGAGGGCUAACCACCUUCUCCAGGUG
rnacentral:tRNA from 1 species